GACGAACGCUGGCGGCGUGCUUAACACAUGCAAGUCGAGCGGUAAGGCCCUUUCGGGGGUACACGAGCGGCGAACGGGUGAGUAACACGUGGGUGACCUGCCCUCAGCUCUGGGAUAAGCCUGGGAAACCGGGUCUAAUACCGGAUAUGACUCCAUGACGCAUGUUGUGGGGUGGAAAGCCUUGUGCGGCUGAGGAUGGGCCCGCGGCCUAUCAGCUUGUUGGUGGGGUGAUGGCCUACCAAGGCGACGACGGGUAGCCGGCCUGAGAGGGCGACCGGCCACACUGGGACUGAGACACGGCCCAGACUCCUACGGGAGGCAGCAGUUGGGAAUCUUGCGCAAUGGGCGAAAGCCUGACGCAGCGACGCCGCGUGAGGGAUGACGGCCU
rnacentral:rRNA from 1 species